UCUCCGUUGGUGACCAGCGGAGGGAUCAUUACCGAGUUUACAACUCCCAAACCCAAUGUGAACCAUACCAAACUGUUGCCUCGGCGGGGUCACGCCCCGGGUGCGUCGCAGCCCCGGAACCAGGCGCCCGCCGGAGGGACCAACCAAACUCUUUACUGUAGUCCCCUCGCGGACGUUAUUUCUUACAGCUCUGAGCAAAAAAUUCAAAAUGAAUCAAAACUUUCAAAACGGAUCUCUUGUUCUGGCGGCAUCGAUGAAGAACGCAGCGAAAUGCGAUAAGUAAUGUGAAUUGCAGAAUUCAGUGAAUCAUCGAAUCUUUGAACGCACAUUGCGCCCGCCAGUUUUCUGGGGGGCAUGCCUGUCCGAGCGUCAUUUCAACCCUCGAACCCCUCCGGGGGGUCGGCGUUGGGGAUCGGGAACCCCUCAGACGGGAUCCCGGCCCCGAAAUACAGUGGCGGUCUCGCCGCAGCCUCUCCUGCGCAGUAGUUUGCACAACUCGCACCGGGAGCGCGGCGCGUCCACGUCCGUAAAACACCCAACUUUCUGAAAUGUUGACCUCGGAUCAGGUAGGAAUACCCGCUGAACUUAAGCAUAUCAUAA
rnacentral:rRNA from 1 species